UCUACAAAUGCUGUCUUCCUACCUCAGAUUGUGAUGGAUCUAGAAUGCGACAUCGUUUAUGAAUAAGUCAAGAACCAAAUGAAACACACUAUUUUCCAGAGUACAGAUUAUGGAGGGGUCUGCAAAACUAAUGGAGAAGUUUCUUCUUCUUGGAGUGCCACAGCUUGAUGCUGCAUAUAAGGACUUAGUGAAGGACACAGAAACAUCUUUAAAAGAAAUGGCCCAAUAGAAGGGAAGGAAAGAAGCUUGAAGUGUCAGCAUUACGAUGGCCAACACUCGCUCACUAUCCUUCUGCUCCCUCAUUUAUCAGAGGCACCACAGUAGAAUGAAUUAGCAAUUACUCUUCACUUUCCAGCCGCAACCCAGCACUGGGAAACACCCAUACACUCUCUCAUACACCUGCACACGUUCACUUACUAUGGCCAAUUCACCAAUACCGUACGCAUGCCUUUGGACUGUGGGGGCAACUG